GCCAGUGUGGCAUAGUGGUUUGAGUGUUGGACUAUGACUCUGGAAACCAGAGUUAGAUUCCCAGCUCAGCCA